rnacentral:misc_RNA from 3 species
UCGAAUCUCGCAACGAGCAGACCGUGCACAUGUGUAUGCCACGCGGGGAUCCCGACGGACAGGUGCUUGCGCGCCUCCCGCCGUCGCCCCGCACCCGCCGGACCCUCGCGCGAGCGAUCGUGCUUGGCGGGGUUCAACAACGAAACCACGGCGCGGAAGAGGCGCCAAGGAUCGAUGACAAACGCGGAGCGUCGCCCCCUCGGUGCACCGUUCGCGGUGUGCCGUGUGGGGCAUUUGCGUCUCCUGAGAUUUGAGUAUGGAAAAAAAC